CAUUCUUCCAGCAUAAAGGGAAAACGGACUCACUAGGAGGACCUAGACUCUUUCAGCUUGAACUGUUAACCAAUGGUGGAAAUGCAAGAAUGCUGAAGUUGUGCCUUCAGAGCCAAUAGAGUGGAUUUGUGUGUCCCACAUGACUGUGUUUCCCCUGUCUUUCACAUGGGCAGUAUUUAGUUCAAUUCAGAACUGCAGAUAGUAUAGCGUGCAGAGCAGCAAUGGGAUGUCUGAGCACAAGUAGCUGACUUCCAGGCGACUUCAGGAAGCACAUUUGUACAUUUCUCCUGAAUUAUCUGGGAUUCUGCACCUUUGACAUUCUCCAACCCUCCUUGUCGCUGCAAAAGGAGACAGUGACCUGCACAGCACAACAAAACUACAAAUCACCACAGAGCUGCAGCAAUGAAGAGAGCUGAGGACGAUUUGACCAACAUCAUCCGUGCCGGUUCCCCAGAAGUCGAUGAAACACAUAAUCAGGUCUACAAGACCACAAGCCUGAGAAGAUCACUGUGUAAGAAAGACCCUGGGCCAACCCAUCCUGUUGAUAUGACACAAAGUACAGCUCAGUUUGGUACUCUUUCCACUCUGAAGGAGUCUCACAUCAGGAAAGAAAGACAUAAAAUACUACAAAAACAAACUGCUUUCCUCAUGGAAGAAUGGUAACUUUGGACAACAUUUGGCACCACAAGUUCAAAGGGCUAUUUCAUCUGCAUUGUAAGUACAGACCCAGAGAUUUUACAGUAUUCCUGUCUCCAUGCUAUUGUUUCCUGUGCCAUUAAUGACAUUUAAAUUAUAGAGCUGCUGCAGCCAUGUAGUCAAAACACCACAUCACCCGAUGAGACACUGUAUUAUAAUGUCAGAGUGUCUGUGUUUUAGCUGUGCUUUCAUAUACUCUACUUCUCUUCAAUCACCCUUUUUCUCUGCCAAAGAAUAGAUACAAGAGACAAGUCUAUCUUUAGCACCACAAAAAUUUCUUACUCGGGCAGCUGCAACACUUCAUUCAUCACAUAUCCGAGUCUCCUGUUUAUAGCAAUGAAAUUUUUAGAUGUACAAGUAGUACAGAGGCGAAAAGGGAGAUUUUAAAAUUAAAAUGCAGGACAUCGCUAGGGAGUCAUAAAUUAUAUGCUUCAAAGCAAACCAAUUUCUAAACUACAUCAGGUGGGAUUUCUUGUUUCUUUUGGGUUAUUUUGAGUAUUAGGUAUUUUUUGUAUUUACUUUCAGUAAAGUAUUUCAUAUUUACUGAAAUACCGUUUCCCAGAACCAUAAUACUGUAUGUAUUGACCUUUACAUACAGUUAUUCACAAUGACAAAUAUUGAUUAAGCAACAAAUAAUUCUUUGACAGUAUCUUAAAAGAAAAUAUAUUGGCAUUUCUAAACAAUUACAUGACUAAACCUGAAACAUUUAUUUUUCUAUAUUAUGCUACUAAAAAGAUAAACUGGUCAUAACAAGUUACUAAAGAGCGAGGUAUUCAGAAUUUUAUCUAGCAUUUAAAACUUUUUUCAAUCUCAAAAGCCUCAAGCAAGCUAUUUCAAGGUCACAAAACUCCUGGGGGAGGGACAUCUGCUCCUAUAAGCUGGUCUGCUGCAUGUAGGCCUCAAAUGGACAACUCCACCUAAGAUGAAAGAUUUAUGUAUGGAACAAUCUUCAAGAUUCCAUGAUUUCCUAAUUUCUGCAUGUGCAAUUCAUCAUUUCAAGCACUCAGACUCUCAAAGUAGUCACAUUAAGAAAAAAAAAUCACAUUAUUAAGUUAGUCAGCUAAUUUUAUUCUGUAUUGGCUCAUUUUUAAUGUCACAUACAAAAUGACAGUGAUUUUUGAUUAUUAAAAGCCAUAGUCUCAAUCAGAAAAGCUAAAUACCAGGAAUUCAUUGAAACUUUUGUGCAUGUUCUAAACUUGCCAAGAACAUCUAGGGCAACUAAAUAUACUUAACAGUUCAACUAAACUUUUAAAAUUGUUUCCACUGAGCAGGUGAAGACAAAAAUCAGCCUACAAUUUUCUUUUGAAAUCUUGAAAUUAUUCUACUUUUUUCUAAAUGAAAAAAAGCUUUAAGUAUCUUAGUGGCUUAGCUUCUUUAUGGCUUUGUUUUUCCCUCCAUGGCCAUGUGAUUUAUCUCCUCCCACACUCCAUUUUGUACGUCAUCCCAAGUUAAAAUGAUUUGGCAUUGGACAGAGGACUAUGGAAACAUGACAAAACUCCAGCCAGCUUUUCACUCUUCCUUUGUCACAGUCAAACCACAGCAAAAGGCCACCACACUGUGGGCACUGGAGAAAGUCAUGCACACACAGGAAGAUCCCAAAUGUUUGGGAUUUUUUUCAGUUUUUUGUCAGUAGUCAAAAGGAUUUAUUUAUGAUUCCUGACCUUUAGAACAGAAAGUCAGUAUCAUUCAGAAUACAGAAGUUCUUCUCAAAUAGCUGACAAACAUUUAAAAGUAAAUCUACUUUAAAGUCUUCUGCUUUCUAACUAUCAACAGAAGGGUCUCUUAUGCAGUUAAAACUUAUCAAUCCAUACACAGCAUGACUAAAAUUAGAGAUGCUCUGGAAGUAAAUGAGGUUGGAAGGAACCUCAGUCUCUCACCUAGUCCAGUGUGCUACUCAAAUCAGAGAAAACCUGCCAUUAACUCUGGCAACUUGUCCAAAUUUGAAGUAUCAGCAAGAGAGAAGAUCCCAGUCUUCCCUCACAUGUCAGUAAUAAUGCAAGGUAAAAUUUUAUAUAUUUAUUUGAUUUUAAAUGUACAUGUAAGCUUAUAUUAGCCAAUGACUGAAUUGGAAGAAAUGCACAUUUUAGCUGUAACAUUUAACUACUCCUUGUGACAUAUAUGCUCCUUUGUGAAAAGGAACAGCUGUGGUACAUCAGAUACUACCCAUGGUAACUACUGCUAAAUGCACUCAAUUUAGACUUAACUACUAGAUAGUGGUGUUCUAGGUGACUUGAUAUGAGCACUGAAUCUUGAUAUGGACAAGCCUUUGCAGAUGCUUUUAGUUUUUGAAUCAUUGUAAUCUGACCAUAUUUAUCGAUGUCCCCCUAAUAUUUAAUUUCUUAUCAAUUAAUGUCAUUCCCUACAACUGCUUUAAAGGCUCUAAAGGAGUUGUUGGAGUCAGCCCGAACUAGAUUCAUUCCAAGUACUGAUGGUUUCUUCUGACAAUUCAAACAGAAAAUCCUCCUUGCACAGAAGUCAUCAUCCUUUCCUAAACUCAGCUUUAGAAGUCAGCACAAAGAUUUUCCAUUUAACUUCACAAAGAGGAAAGUAAAGUAACAUCAGGCCUUUUUCAAAACUACUUUGAAGAUACACUGUUUAGCCCAGAGCUAGCCCUAGAACAACUCCCAGUUUAUAAGUGGAUGUGACAGUCUCCCCCAAAAGAAUCUAUUAAAAGAUACUCAGUUUGAAUUCUCAAUAACUGGAGAUCAUCUGCAUAGAUUUUGCCUCCUUUAGUUGAUUCAGUAAACUUGAUCUCUGACCUUUAAAUAAGGGUUAAAAUACCAGAUAUUCUCUUCAGAUAUCUUCUUGAAAAGAUGCAGUAUUGCCUGACAAACAUUUUGUUCAUACUCAAAAUCAGCUGGCUGUAACUUGUGUUUCAGGAGUAGAAUGACAGACAUUACUUGGGAAAAAGUAAAAUGCCUUUUACUCUACCCAGUGCUCCAAACUGAGAUACCAGGUCCAUUUUUAAACUUACUGAUAUGUCCUAUUGAUGAGGCAACACGAAAUUCACUGACAGAAUAGGAAAGGGACUGCAUUUGAACACAAACCAAAGUGAAAAUUAUCAGUACCCUCUGCAUUCCUGCUUACAAAUCACAAGUCUCACGAUAGACUACAUAUUUCUAAGAUUGUCAGGGAUAUUCAUGGUUGAAUGCAUUCCAUUUUACACCUUGUUAUAAGUUUUUCAUAUCUUUUUCCUUUUAAAUCAAGGGAAAACACCAUUUUAUUACUCAAUUUAUGAUGCAUGAUAAAGAAAUGAGUGUACUACUUUUCCAAUACACGCAUUCUUCAGUAUUUGUAUAGAACAAGAAAAAAUGAAAUGUUUAGUUCAGUAUAUUUUCUAGCAGAUAUUAUUGGUGGAGUGCUGAUAGAAAUAAGCCUUUAGAAAAAUUAAUACAAAAAUAUUUUGGUUUUCUUCUCAACUGCAUAGAAAUUUUUUGCUCUGUGAAGUCCAGCAAACAAAAAUACUUGACACUGUAAAAUCCUUUCCCACUCUUGACCAUCAGAGAAGUCUAUUGCAUGGUGUCUCAAAGGCCCUCUUUUAUUCACACAUGUUUACACUCAGUCAUGUUCUUGUUGACCAAAUUUUGAAUUUCCUGAUAAAAUAUUUCUGUGUAUUCAUGAGUUGCAAAUUUUUCAGCCAUUUUCCUGGUUCCUCCAGAUAAAUUCCUUCAACUACAUCUUACGAUUUCAACUUGCAUACAAUGAUAGCACAACUGUCUGGAAUACUUAAUUUCUACAGACAAAAUCCAGCUACACAUAUUUAAAUCAUUUCCUUGCAUAGUGAAGAAGCAACCACCUGUAUUCAGGGACAUAUGAUGGGACUGAAGGGGACACAAGGUGGAAACUUCCUCCUGUCCACACUCUUCACUGCUCACCAUCACUCAAAUGUGUAUGGCUGUAGAGAAACUUGCAGCAGGCCUACCAUAUCUAUGAUUUUAAAAUACUGCUUUAGAUUUAAUGAUAUGAAAAUCAAAUAAAUUUGAGUAAGAUUUAAGCUACCCCACUAGAAAGAGUUUGCAUAUCAGUUCAAUAAUUAAUUACUUUCUAAAUCAGAUUAUUAGAUACCCUCUGGAGUGGAACAUGAAUUCGCAUAAUCUGGGAACUGUUUUGCUGGGCUCAUCCACACACCUCUUUUUAAGCUGCAGGUUUCAACAAACAUUUUAAAUCACAUACCUGGCAGAUGAAAUAUUAUCAGUUUUCAUUAUUAUUAAAUGCCUAUGUUUGAUUUGAAGAAAUAUGGACAGAAUACUUGAAGAGCAAAGAAACCAAAACCAACUCCAAAAGGAGACUUUCCAAACCCACCGAAACAUCAAUGCCUUCAUUCAGUCCUGAAAAAAUCCCUCUAUCACCUAAUAUAGCAAAAGCUUUCUGAUCAUAGUUUUCCCAAACAUAAGAAAAGCAGUAAACUACGUAAAUACAGUACGAUGAAAAUGUCAAAUUUAAACAGAAUCACACGUGAAGAUCCACAAAAAUUUUGACAAGAAAUGAUAUAAAUAGUGCACUGAAUUAUCUUCAGUUUAUAAUUACCAACUAGUCAUAAACCACAGACACAUAACCCCUUGCAAUGCAAUUGCCCAGCUGCCACAGUUCACUACAGAAAGAGAGCUCCCAAGGCUAUUAUUUCCCUUUUUCCAGUGCAUUUUUGCAACAUAUUUUUUUGGUUUUAUCUUUGGAGUCCAGCUGGAAGCAUGCUUCUGCUGCCAGCUGGUUUUCCCCUAUCAACUCCCUCUCUCAUGAAGGGGAAAUGCAGAACAGCAGUGCAGUGGUGGGAGAAGCAGGAAAGGGGAAAAAUACAAUCAGAAACAGUAGUUCUACCAGUGCUAUGUAUUAAGCAGCAUCUUUUCAGUCAUAGUAACUCUUCAAAUGCACCUCAUCAUGAGCUAUUACACGCCACACCUCUCACAAGAAUAGGCAUGUUUGCAAUGUUUCUGUAUUCUCAUUUUACACAAGAAACCUUUGUUCUCCUUGUCUCAAAGCAACGAAUGAAAAAUCAAACGAAAGUCAGCAAGAUUCAUACUACAGCACAUUUGUACACGUAGUUUUUCCAAGUAUGCCCAAAAGGCAUUUAGAGAAGAGUAACUAAAUUAAUUUCAAUUACCUGAUCUUCUGAACAAUAAACAAAAAUCAGCAUAAAGUUUCAGUAAUAAAGCAGUCAAAUAGGAGUAAGAAAGCUCAAAACUCAGUUCACUACUCUCAAAGUCAAUUUAAAAGGAAAAUACUUAGGAAAUCCCCACCUGAAAAGGAAAGCACUCCUUUAUUAGACCAACUCAAGUUGACAGACACAGUAGCAGAAAACUGCAUAGCACUUUUUAAAGUUCAGCUUUGCAGGUAGGACAGGCUACAACUCUCUUACACUGAAGGUAAAUCAUAGCACCCAAAGUAAAGGUUAUCAAAGGAGAAAAUCUGCCUUAAGGGUAUACUAUGGUAUACUGCUAGGUAUACUAAUAGGUAUACUAUGCUCCCACUAAUAAUUCUUUAUAUUAAUAAUCUUCUAAAAAGAAAUUUCUCCAAGAGUCAUUUUCCAACAUUUAGCUCCAAAAAGGAGCUUGUAAGAUAUAACAAGCCUUCUGUUUUUGUCUGUCUUGUCGACAGAGUAAUAAACCCCACAGUUUGCUACAUAUAAUUGUUAUUUUCUUUUAUAUUCUCAGGUUUACCUUUCAGUGUAAGAUUAGGCAAAAAGUUAACUUGCAUUCUAAAAAUUCUUUUCAGACCCUCAAAUUCAUAUGCUAUGUAAUGUUAUGCAAAUUUAUAUGCUAUAAUGUUUCAGCUAUCAAAGUCAUAGGCAUAAAUACUUGAUUCAUAUUUCUAGAAUUAGCAGUUGAAGCUAAGAUUUUGAUAAUGGAAACAGAUUUUGGGUCUCUGGUUUACCUGCUAAACCUCUUCCUGGGAAACUGUGGAGUUGGAGAAAACACAUCCUGCAUGCAGAUUUCUUGGCUGUGCAGUGUCACACAUCACCCAGGAGCUGUCACUUCAGCAGAAGGAGCAAUAUCAACUUAGGCCUGUGAGGAAAGCAGAACACCCAGCAAAGAAUACAUUAGCUUCUUAGUUAAGGACAAGAGGAGUCAACCAUAACCCACAGUCAUUGCAGCCAUUUCCUAAUUAGAAGGCAAAGAAGAGUACUGAGAAUGGGUUAGAGUAACCAAAGGUCUGAACUUACAGUUCAGCUAAACGCUGCUGUUAUCUUCCAAGCAUUGAUACCCAAAAUACCCAUAGAGAUUUAUAUCUAGGCAAUACACAGGAACUAGGCCUUUUAUAUCUAGGCAAUGCCUAAGGAACUGCACACACAAAAAGACUCUCAGAAGUCUGCAAGUUGAAGAUAGUCCUCCUAAACUAUAUAGGAGGAUAGUGAGAGCCACAGGCCUAGAACUGCAGCCUUUAAACUUUUGCUGGCCUCACAACAAUAUGGCCAGAAACUCCCUCCUGGAAUUUGGUCUUGAAAACAUUCCUCUGCCAACUGACAAAGGAGCAGGUACUUGUACUGCCUCUCUCUGAAGAAACCACUUACCCACCCUAGGGCACAGACCUAGGAUUUCAAACCUAAACCCAUCCCCAGCUACAGCAAGAUAUUGUGACUGAGGGACGCUCCCAAAUGUUUCCUCAAGAAGCAAAGAAAAAUUUAAACAUUGAUUUGGCAAUACAGAAUACACCUGGUAAUCGAGAUGCCAUCUUCCCUCAUGUUUAGGAUUUGCUCUGAUGCCUGCUCAGAGGAGCAGAAAGCAGAGGGAAAGGGAACUGCACACAGUCCUGUGCAAGACACGCUGAAGUGAGGUCAGCAGGGCACUUCUGCACAGGGGGUGCAGCUCCAGCCUGGCCCUAGCAACAGAGAAGUUGGCAGAUAGUUUGUGGCCAGUGGCUUUGGGCUCCUCCAUGGUGAGACAAGCACUGAAUGGGCCAUUUUGAGAAUUCAGAUAUUUUGGUACUGUGUAAUUAAGCACCUUAACCCAGCUGUGGAACACAUUUAACAGAAAUACAGUGGCUUGAUCAGUCUUACACUAGGCUAAUUUUGUUAUGAUUGUUUUAAAUGCCUACUAAAAAUUAUCUGCAUAUUUUAAGUGUGAUUGAAAAAUUAAUUCUAUUUCUUCUUAUACAAACAAAUGGCUCUUAGCAUUUUUAGAAAGGUCCCUGGAUUCUAUAAAAACUGGAAAUGCCAUGAAGAUACAUUCACAUUAUGAAAAAAAUUGUUUGCACAUUUACCAUCAGCAUUACUUUUUCAGAGUUUAAUUUUAAUAUUACAUCAUUUCAAUUCUCAGCAUGGCAACUGUGCACAAACAUCACCUGGGUGCUGAAUGCUGGGGGUAGUUGAGCCGCUUUACAGGAACUCUGCUGGGUGGUGUUCUGUGCAUGUGCAAGGCAGUGUGACAUUGGUGCUUAGACCUGACCACAAGCAAACCAGUUAUUUAAACCAGAGGAAUUUGUAAAUUCACAGAGCUAAAGGUCUGGCAAGUGAAGAACUAAAUGACAAAUACCACAUCAACAGAGCAUAAAAGCAUUCUGUAUAAUAGAAGGUACCCACACUUUGAGACCAGAGACCAGUUUAACUCCUUAACCACGCAGGAUGGCAAAACAUUUGUUACAUAACAGCAACUUCACAUGGCAUUUUUACAUCCUGCCAUCUUUUCACUGAAGAACGGAAGAUUAGACUUCUACUGACUCUGAGAGACGGGGAAUAGAGCCAGCAGCAAUAUUUAGCACAGAGUGACUGAUUUCUGGCACCAUCUAGCUUCUCUGCAACAGGAAUCUGGCAGCCUGGAAGGUGCUUUUCAAAGACACUGAUUGAAUAAUUGAUACUAGUGCUAUACAAAGGCUCAAGAAAGCACAAGAAAGAAUAAGAAAUAAAGUAGUUUUGGGGCUUAAGACCUACUCUCUCUUUUUUUCUCCCAAUAAAGGUCGUGAGGUAAAAAUCCUGGGCAGAUUACCAAAGCAAAGAGAACACAGACUCUGUUCAUCAUUCAGCUUUGACUAUGCAAUUCUGCCACAUAUCUAUAAUAUAUAUGAAAGUAUUGGACACAAAGAAGCCAUAAUGCAAGCAAGACUAUUAAUUGUUCAUUUUCAUGAGACAUAGUAUAAUCAGAAAAGAACAGAUUUGUUUUGACCAGUGGAACUAUUACUAAUUCCACUCAGGAACUGCAAAAUUCCAAGGAUUAUUUCUGACCAUAAAGAUAGUGGGUUUAUACUCCUUCAUUGCACUUAAGGGGUUUUGGACACUAGAAACUUCAUCUGCAGCCACCAGUUCUGUAUGGAGAGCUGCUGACCAUUUAAGAAAAGCAGCCAUGUUUUGUGCUGAACAUUAACAUUCAUUAACUGAUGAGAUAUACAGCUUUUGGAUGCUUGUGCUCUGCAAAAUUUUGCAGAAACAUAUUUCCUUGUCAGGAUGAGGACAUGUUUACAGACUCACAUUGGUAAACCAGAAAGGAAGACAAAUAAGUUUGGUUUAUAUCCUCAGUAGAGGAAGAAAUUGCAGAGAAAAAGGAGGGGGGGAAAAAAAUCGUUCUGGACUAUACCAGACAAUCAAGCACAGUCUCUCCAAUUCAGAACUUUUUUCCAAUUCCCACAGUGGAAUUUUCUUUCCAUUUGCCUGAAAUCACCUGUAAUGUGCUUCAGGAGCUAAUCCCUACACAUUUUUUACUCGGCCCAGGCCCAAUAAAAGCAAGGAUUCUCAAAUGCAUUACAAACCCAACCCACUUUCUCACUUCGUCUUUUCAACUGCAUGUGACCACAGCUACUGAAAAUAGAAAAUUAGCUACAUUUACACACAAGUAAUACAUAGGAGUCUCCUAGAUGGAAAAAAUGGAACAUAGUUACAUGCUUUUUCCUAUGAUCCACUUAAAGUAAUAUUUCUCUCCCUCAGGGUCAUAAUGUAUUCAGUUAAGGCAGUUUCUCAGUAAAGAGGUCGAGGACUAUUCUGCACUUGAUUCAUUUAUGAUCAGCUCUGGUUUUGUGAUAACAUCCAAUAACUAAAGUGUAAAUGCAAGGGAGGCAUAGUUGUCUAUGUAUUUUAAUGUAUUUCAAAGGUGUUUUAUUUAAAGAAGAGUCUUACAUUCUCUUCUCCCUAGAUAUGCAGUUUUUUUAGACUCCACAUUUUCCACUCCUUUUGGUCAUACUAAGAAGGAUCAUAUAUUUUCCAUGACAUAGGGACAUGUGAUGGCUGAAGAUUAGUAAGUCAGUAUUUGGUGUGGCAUGAAUAAGAGUAUCCAAGUGGGAAGGAAUUUCAAGAUUUAGAUCUAAGAACUAAAAUGCACCAAGUCUGAACCACAGGCAGAAGUCUUAACAAAAAUUGGAAACAACCCUUGAAGUCAGCACCCGUUACUUGAAGACACUUUUUACUCUCUGAACAGUUACAGAUCAAAAUGAAAGAGCAAGCAAAGCAAAGUGAGGUAAUGAGAGCAAAGCAGAGAACAUGUUCAUAGAGGGGAAAGGGAAAUUGAGACAUCUGUCAUUAACAUCUGACUUGGGUGUCUCUUAAUGGGUUUAUAUUCAGUUCUUUGUUAUGCAACUAGAAUUACUACAACGAAUGAGUUUUCAUAUCUCGGAAUAUUCUGUGUUAGAAGACACCCACAGGGAUCAAGUCCCACUUGAGUGAACAACCCAUAGGGAAGUGGACCCACAGCCUUGGUGUUGGCACCAUGCUCUCACCAAGUCCAGAACUAAAGUAUCUUGGGCUACUGCGUGGUGUUCACCUGAGAGACAAACUCCAAGGAACUUAUCACCAAGAUUUCAGUGAUAUUCUUACACAGUCUUCAGUGAUGCACAAAAGAAAAGCACUGGGAUUUUCAGCAGCAAUUCCCCUGAGUGUCAAGAAUUGAGAAGUUUUUUAAUCCCUUGGUCCUUUUGAAAUUCUCUGCAUGCAAUUUCAGGGUAAUAUAUUGUUUCAAAAAGCCUGGUAGAAAAUUCUCUAGAAAGCAAAAGGUGGGAUCCCUGAUAUGUACACAUGAAAACCUCUGUUUCCUGCAUUCUCAUGUACCAAAACGUUGCAAAUUAGAAAAAAGUCAAACCCAUAGCUAUCAGAAUGUACUGCAUUUAUGUAAAUAUUUGCAGAAAACGCAUUAUAAUUAUAUUGGAUUACCUGCAUAAAGAGCUGAAUGACAUUCUAAUCUUGACAUUCAGGUACCCAAAAUAAGUGCUUAAGGAUUGGAAAGAAGGCAAAGAACAGAGGAGACAGUAAAAGUGCUAAAAGCAUUAUAGAAACCUUUAUAUUUUAUAUUCAGGUAGAGUUUGUCAUGAGCAGCCCACUCCCUUUUUGCACUGAAUAAUUCCCAGCAUUUUCAUAUCACAUCUCAGAUACACAUACCAAAGACAACUUUCUAAUCUUGUGUGUUUAGAGAAAAGGAAGAGGAGAGCAAAAAAUACCAAUAAACCUUCCCUUUCCCCCUUGUCCUCACCUUACUGGCCAAUACUUCUUGCUUUUAUCUAACACCUGAAGAAUUCUCUUCCUAGAAAGAGGAGAAGACUGAAAGGAGGUGACUGACUUGUAUGUGCACCCUAUUGUACUUUUAUUUUAUAAUUUAAAAUUGAUAUUUUAUAUAUAUUUCUGCAAUAACAGCAAAAAUUGCAGUUCUAGACAAAAAUGUGUCUAGGGUCUGCUACUUCUACUGGCUUGUUGAAUGAAUUUUGUAUUAGAGAGGGAUCUAGAUCUCAGAAAUAAUUUGUCUUCAAGUUCCUCCAGUUUUUACCUCAGAAGUAUGGUGAAUAACUAAAUAUUUCAGCUGUUUGUUCUCCCUCCUCACCUCACUGUAUUUGACAUUAGAUUAGCAGUGCUGUGCACACCAUGUGACAACAAUAAUACUAAGCUCAAGACAGGACCUCAUGUGCAAAGAAAAAAAAACAAAUCUACAUUUCACAAGAAAAUUAAGUUCCAGAAACAUGAGAUUGCUUAUAUCCUUUCUUUGGUCAUAUUCUACCCUUCCUUCCAUCCUAUUCACUAAUUUAUUUCUUCCUCAGUCUCAUACUCCAUCUCCCAAGCCUUCAGUGACAGCUUUGGAACCUUAAACCAGUCUCAAUCGAUAGGUUGAGGUCAGCUGUCAGAGCCAUGGGAUCAGAAAGAUCAGAACACAUUUAUCCAAAGUCCAAGUGCAGUGCCCUAUUCAGACAGCUGUGCUGCCUGCUAGUUAUCAGGUGGAAUUGAAAACAAAAGUUAUAUUAAAAGACAGCAGGAUCAUUAUUUCUCCUUUCUGCCCCACCUCCUCAAGUGCCUGAGGUCAUUUUCCACAACAAAAAAUGAAAGCCCUUCUUAAAAGGAAAGUGUUUUUGUGCUAAACAGCAGUGGUUAAUUUCUUGCAACUAAUUAGUUAUUCAAGUGAAAGUAUAAUGAUCCUCCAACGUGAUUGAAAGUGCUUCAACUGAGUUUCCUGCUAACAGCAUACCUCUAGAAAAGAUGCAAUAAAUCAGCAGGGUUAUGGAAAUCUUUAAACAAAAGCAAGUCUAUGACAGGAACCCAUUAAAGAUAUAGCCAUGUAAUAUUUAUGCACCAGCUGACUUGUGCUUUUAACCCAGCACUUUCAGCUAUAGCUUUUUAGCACCUGGGUUGUAUUCAGUAAAAAUGAAAUUCACCCUAUCUGUUAAGAGCCACCACAAUGUCUCUGCUUUAGGUGUUCAGAGUAUAGAGUUACCAUAGGGCUUAAGGGAUGGAACUUCCCUCCAAAUGGAAUUUUACCCAGAUAUUUCUGAAGAAAAAUACAAAUAGAACACCUUUGAACAGCACAGAAAAUGUAAUCUGUGAGCCUCAAGCUCCCUGAUAACCUUUAGCAAGAGAAGAGACAACACUGGUUUAUAAAUCCAGGGAGGUACUGAUGGAGAAACAAAACUCCUCAGAAUAGCUGAUAUCCCCUAUGAUCUUUCAGAUUGGGAUCUGUGAUUAGGAGUGGUUACUGGGAUGGUGAUAGGGGAUCUCUUGAGACUUGAACAGAAAAUCCUGACUCUGUAAAAUGCCAUGCAUUUGCUCCUAAACCUACUAAUUCAUUACAGGGUUUGUAUUUAAAUGCAUUGGGUACUGCAGAAAAGCAAGACCCUGUGGUAGAAAAAUGCAUUUUGACAAUGUUUGAGGCUUCUGGGUGAUACAGAUGCACUGAUCAGUUUAAAUCUCUAAAACAAAGAGAUAUUUCACUUUUUUUUUCACAUUAAACUGUCUGCAUAUGUGCUUGCAUGUAUUUUUAGGCGACAUAUAAGUGCACAGGAAGCAAAGAGAAUGGUUUAAUUUAUUAACUUAUUUGGCUGUACAUGUUUUCCCUCAUCCAUUCACUCAUUUACUUCAUUGUCAUCUCAGUGUUCCCACAGUUUUAAAAGACAGAAUUUGGAUUCACAAACCAAUCUGAGUUGAGGAGUCAAAUACAAUUUCCUGGCCUACCUUUCCUUGCUGCAGCAAAAAAGGAAAGCCUUGCUGCUGUGAGGUUGGAAAAGGGAGACUUCAGGGAAAGCUGUAGUAACUGCAGUUUAUUUGGGACUCUGGGAGGUGGGGAUUGAAGGACAGAGGAAAGGAAACCAGACAUCAUUCCCCCUUCCCACUGAAAUCAACUUAGUCUUCGUGAUUGGUUUUUGGACCAAUGACCACUUUCAACUCACACCUUCUGUUGGAGAAAUAAAUUAGGAGUCCAGCUUUAUUUUGUCAAUAGAAAGUUUAAAGUGGUCACUGGAACACAAAGCUUUUCAAAGGGUUGCUGAGCUCAACAAGGACAAGAAGGAGGAUGUUGAGAAAGCCACAAAAACACAGGCAGAUUACAAACCAUUAAAGGCCAUGCUGUUUUUAAUAAUAAAGAUAAGGCCUUUAGAACAGUUCUGGUAAUUUCUAUUUAUUGUGGGCUAUUUUUCUGUAUAAAAAUAUGUAUCACUUAAAAAAACCCUCUGGCAGAGCAGGAAGAGGUAUUUUGUGUUUGUGUGUGUCAGUCUUGAUAAAAAAGAGCAACCAGAAAAUAGUAAACUAACUAGGCAUUUGCUCCCUGACUACAUGGGAUUAUGCUUCACAUUUGUGCUCUAAAUCAUUGGAUCCUGUACAAGUAAUUGUACUGCAAUGGGUUUUGCUAUGCUAAAUAUUUAAACUGUGUGCCCAGUGCUUCAAAGUCUGAGCUUAUUCUGUGUUCAGAGCUUUUUAGAGUUGAGUCAAUAGCAUAUUUGUUUUGAAUGGCUGCUCCUAGAUAACAGUAACAAAAAUCCAAAACUUGUUUACAUCAUUUAUCAUGCCUAAGAGCUUAGCUUGAGACAUUAAAAAAGCCACACAACAAGCAAGCAGAAAAAUGCAAUCCUUUAGAAUAGUCUCUACUGGUGAAAAGAAGUUACACCAUAAAGCAAAAAGAAUGUUUUGCUAACUCUGGACCAAGAAUUGCUUUGUUUUUAAACUGGAGCAACGACUGGCUGGAAAGUCUUCAAGGAACUUCCUCUUCUCCCUGAAGAUAGUCAUGAGCUUUUCUAGUGCCCCAGACUUCAUAUUUUAGCGAUUGCAAGGAUUGUGGGUCCUAAGCAGAAGCCCUUGUUCAUCAGAGUGUGCAAAAUGUCAAAAAUGUCAGAGUCACAAAGAGUCAAAACAAAGCAAAUCAGGCAAUUUCAUCAAUGCUAGGAAAACUGUUCCCAUCUGAGCAGUACCUUCAGCUCUAACAGGCAGUUACAUCAGUUGUGCAGCAAAUGCCCCUGGUCUAUUUUCUUAACUUGUAUUGCUACCUUAAGAACAAGGCUUCACCAGCAUUUACGCAGACACUCAUGGAGUGUUCUACACAUUCUCAAAUUGCAUUUGUGGUCUAAAUUCUGUGAAGUGUGGUGAUAUUUUUGGGAACAAAGAUUAAGCAUAAUUUCUCAUCUGUUUCAAAUUACACAUGAAAAAUACAGAGGAUGUUAAUAACAAAUAGAUUUACAUGCAGAAAUUUCAUUUAAAAAAAAAAUGCAGAAAUGCCAAAAAACAAUUGCAGCAAAGGAAAUAAUGCAACCAGGCAACGAUUUACCAUCCUCACAUUAUCAGAAUCACAGUUCUAAUUAGAAUCCAGUUAGAAUCCAGUGCAGGGUAACAGAACAGUAUUUGAAAAAAUGAGUCUUUCAUAUCUCUGUGCUACCUUGAGAGCUCCUGAUACCUACUCUGGAAGCAGACAGAACUCAAAAAGGUGCCUCUUUUCCAGUGAAGACGUGACUUCCCCUCCAAGGGCCUGGGGCACUGUGCCCCAAAUGCUAAUAGCUCGAGCUGUGCAAUAGCCCUAUAUUGUUUAUAUAGCACUUCACAUGUUCAAAGCACUAUGAGAUAUCAGCCAUCACUACACUUUUAUGAGGCUGUAAGUAUUACCCACUAAACAUCAGGGUUCAAAUGACUUGCUCUUGAUCAAAAGAAACUUUGUGCAGCAGGACCAUAAUUAUUUGAAUUUGGUAAAUCUCGCAGACCAUUCCUAUGGCAACACAGAAUGAAGAGGGGGAUGGGAUAUUAAAGCCAAUUGCUAUUGCACUCUGCUCUGGCAGUGACAUGGACACGUGGAGGAUCUCUUAAGCAAACCUACACUCACAGCACUUUUUAUAGAAAAUUCUAGAAAAUUAUUUAAAAAUCAGGAGCAAAAAUUAAACAAAAGGUUUUGAAAGCCCCAAGCAUGUUUUUUAAAAUGUAUCUAUUUCACAUAUUCACUGUGAAGAACAUAAAAGACAACAUGCAAACAGUACUGAAGUACUCCAAAAAUCCUAAAAGGAUGUUCUGAAUUCAUUCUGAAGCAAUUUGGGAAUUUUUAUACCAAGAAGAUUAGUAGGCAGCUUAAAAGCAAGUCCAUUUUCUGCAGAAAAAGAACUACAGUCUUAUGUCUUAUGGUUGACUACAGAAGGACUCAACAUUUUAAAAUAUAGACUGUUUUUGCUCUCCAUUUUUAUACAUAUGUUCUUCCCAUGAAAAUUUAACUAUGCUGACAUUUAUCUCGCUAGUCUCAAAGUAUCAAGUCUCUUCUCCUGAAAAAGGAUACAAACACAAAAGGAAAUGUUGAAAAACAACCGAUGUAUCCACAGUACACAUGACAACCAAAUAAAGGCGACAUAAAUGCUAAACAGGAUAGAUGCUGAAGGUUCUACUCUUUACAAGUGAAAUCACUUUAUCCAAAAUUCCUAACACUGAGAGUGAAGACAGAAUAAGAAGAUUCUGAUCUCCUCUGCCUUUCCAUCCUGUGCCCAUCCUGUAGAAUUAUUGUAGAUUUACAAUAUUGUCUUUCCCCCUCUCACAUUUUGCCUCAUACACAGCUCUAGUUUCCACACCUACAAUAUGUUUUCAGAGCACAGCUUCACAGUUACUGGCCUUAGAACCUUGCCUGCAGAAUCACGUGGGAAAUAGAUCAUAUUAAUAAGACAAAAAUAUAGAUCACUACAUGCAGUCAGAUUCAUCAAGUAAGAAAAGGAUGCCUGUUUAAAUCUUUCAGUGGAAGGGGGAGGGAAAGAAAUUAUCUUCAAAGACAGCAAUGAGUGCAGAAGGAAUUACUAACGUAACCUUUUGUGUUUUAGCCAGGCUCAUCCUGUAGCUAUGAAUGUUUACCCUUUAUCUUACAACUUUUGCUUGGCAUUUUUCAGGUACAGGCCACACAGAACUAACUCUAUGCCAGACUAUGCUUGCAAUUUCUACUGUUUUGACUAACGUUGCCUGAAAAGUUAAAUUACUGAAAUAUUGGCUGAAAUAAUAAAGUUUAACAUCAAUAGGUGAGCAUUACUUCAUGGACAUUAAUGUUAGAACCAGUUACCAUAUUCCAUCUACUGAUCUAAAGAACAGAUGUUUGCGUAUGAUUUAUGGACACUGAAAUAGGUGCAUAUCUUCCAUAAAUAGUAAUGUGUGCCAGUAACAAAGAGUGGAGAAUUGUGAUCCAAAAGAGGGAAAUUGCAGGCAGUAUUAGAAUUUAUGUACCAAUUUCUUGGCUUUAAAUAAAAUGCAAAUCUCAUAGAGCCAGGGCCUGCAUCCUGUAUGCUGGAAAAGUGCUUACAAUUUCAAACAGGACUAACAACAUGAAGUAAUAAAUUGCAGUUGGGCUCAAAAGGGCAGAUAUAAAAGUCUGCUUUAGAACAUGAGUGCAACUAUGGUUUGUUAAAUAAGAGUAACAAUUUAUAUUGAUUGAGACACAAUAAAUCCAAACAGUAAGCAAAAAGCCAAUAUUACUGUGUGUACUUUCACAUUACAUUUGGACUUGGAAGUUUCUUUAGUAUCAAGAUUUAAUAAAAUACUAAUCAGGUAAAAUUCUAAUGGGCAAAGCAUAGUCUUGAGCGCUGCAAUUAAAUUAUUUUUGGAAGCGCAAUCAAAUAUUUGAUUGAACUAAUAUCACUGAUGCUCCUCACAUUUGUUCUGUUCCUAAAUUAGCUUGGCUAAUCAGUAUCCCACCUCAUAGCCUGUGUUGCAAACAUGUAAUAUUAGCUGAUGGGUUUCAUUUCAAGAGCACAGUCAAUUUUUUGACAGCAAACUUACUCAAAAACUUAGUCAAAGCCUACAAACACAUGAAGCAGCAUGUUAGGAGAUAUCACAGUUCCUGGGCCUUCAGAACUCUAAUUAAAGACAGAGUGAACUUCAGGUCACUCUGUGACUGUUAUGCAUGUCAAACAAGUUUUGAUCUAGCUUAAAAACUAGUUUUGUGGACAAUAUUUCACCUCAAAGUGUCUUCUGUUUUUCCACCUUGUUAUUCUAUGAGGAAUGUACAAAAAAGCAGCCUUGUAGAAUGCAGAAUUUAAACAAGGCAAAUCACAGUUUUUUUACUUCUGUCUCAGGCUGGCAUGCAUUAGUGCUUCAAGAUGUUAUGCAGCUGCUACUUUUCCCCAGAGAUGGCUGUACUCCAGUAAAUGGUGAAAUACUCCUCAAACUUUUACUUUUUUUCUUUUUCCCCCAGCAGAGGGUAACAGAGGUGCUUCCAUAGGUCUAAGCCAAUGUGAAAAGAUGACAACUGUGUGAUUGGAUUUCUUGAAAAAUAUUAGCCUUAGAUUUACUGCAUCAGUAAUUAGGAGCUGAUGCUACACUCUUAACACACGGUAGAAACUGCAGUUAGUGUCUGUAGAAUACAGCGAGUCUUAGAUUACAGUGAUUGUUAUUUGAUUCUGUUCUUGCAGUUUUUAAGAUCACAGAUGAAACAAAUACCUUUUGUUGUCUUGAUAGCUGCACAGAUUUUUUAUUUCAGCAUAUAACUCGAAGUCAUCUAAGAACAAAUUGAAUUUCUAAUAACUACAGUCAACUGGAUUUAAUUCCUUUCAGUGGAAGCAGAGCCGUGUCAAUACUUACUGAGAUUUAGUAUUACUGCUGAUUUAUUGAAAGUAAAAUGUCAAUACAACAUGAAAAUCUGUCAUUUUAGAAAGGUUUAAUAAAAAAGAUGAACACAACACAAAAAAUUGAAAAUAAAAGAACUAAUAACUUAUCAUUCUAAUUCACUUUUUUCCAGAUGAGCGUCCGGUGUCAGCUGGUUCAACGCAGAUGCCACUGACAUCAAUGGAGCUGUGUCAGUAAGAAUCUGACCCCAAGUGUGCUGCUGCCAAUUUUAGACCCUGCCACUAGAAUUCACUUUUACAAAGCAAUUAAAAAAACACAUCCACACCUGCAUUUCUUCCUGUCCCCAAGUGUAUAACUGGAAGUCUGUUGACAGACUGUGGGAGAGGGCAAGUGGAAGGUGGAAGUAGCCAACAACUGCAUCCAUGAGAUAACUUUGCAGUAUCAGUAUAAGCACUGUUCUGUUGUCUUCCUUUUAUACAAACAAAUAUUUGGCUUCAAAACGUUUUAACUCCACCUUCCGCUAACAAACAAUUCCAUGUCAGCAAAAGAAAAAUGAUGCUGUAAGCCACACAGAGUAUCUACCUUAAAAGUUUGUUAACAUGGUAUUUUAACCAGUAUACAAGCUGGAUAGACUGCUUUAAUGCACCAUUAGAAAAAGUACUUAAAGCUACAAGGGCCCCAAGGCUGAGUUCAGUGUCUUCACCUAAGUAUUUGUUCCUCAGCAAUCCGCCUGCUGUAGCAGCAGUAAGAUUGGUAACAGUUCUAAGGCAGUUGUUUGAAGUGGCCUGCAAGCCAGACUUCUAUCUGGAUGAUAUCUUUCAUAUCUCAUCUAGCCAUUGCGUGGGCAAGAGAGGAAGAAGAAAGGAAAAGGUGGGGCAAUAAGCAGGGCAGAGAAGUACUCGACAGCUCCACCAUAUCUAAGCAGGGAGAGGGAGCUUUUGCCUCAUUUUUACAAAAGGCAGUUGUUAAAUGAGUGCAUUGUAUAACAGCUGCCCAGUAUUAACCAGUACAAUAAAGCUAGAAUGUUGGUCUUUUGAUUCAACAUAGCAAGGUCAAAAUGGAAAAGGUAAUUAAUUAGAUCUGAAGAUGCAGUUCACAUAGUAUUGAAGUAAUUGUCUAUUUGUGCAACACAACAACCAUAUCUUCAAUUUAGGUCAGGCCAUCAAGAGGAAAAGGACUGAAGACUGAAGAUGAGAUGCUCUACUUCACACAGUUGCCCUCUGGAAGGACUUGCAAAGGCAGUCACUUAAAUUAAGUACAGGUCAUCAGAGAAGAUAUCUAAUCUAUUCCUAAGACAAGCAGCUCUAGCAGCCCAAAUCCCUAUGGCCUUUGCAGCGACACGAUGAACUACUUCCUCAUGUUCCUCUGUCAAUUCACGUUAGGUUCCAGUUUUUUUUAAAGCGAUAUUUCAUGUACAUCAUGACCCUAUUGCUCAAAGCAAGGAAAGUGCUUUGGUUUAUUUAUGACCUACUAACCUUAAAUUAAAAAAAAAAAUACAUCCAAUCUGAAUGUUCACAUAAGCCUGCAGAUCUGAAAUAAAAUUUAAAAUAAAGCUGGCAUUUGUAACAGCUAGCUAAGCCUGGUAAGGGAUUUUAAAAAAAAAAAAUGAAAACCAGAUGAAAGAAGAUGAAAGCAUAUUUACCCUGCAUAACCUUCACACAUCAGGAAUCAGGACUGGAACCCAGAAAUACCUUUUGUACUUAGAAGUUUCAGCCUAUUUCAGAGGCUAGGUGACCAAUGAAAUACUGAGGUUUUUCAUGAUGGGGGGUGGGGAGGCAAUAAGAACAACCUGUGAAAGUAAUUCCUUGUAAGCUGUAAUCUACCCGGCCACAAGCUCUACACAGCUCCUCUCCUUCCCCUGCACCCCUUCCCAAUUGCCAGAUAUCAGCCAGGCAAGCCCCCAUACAGACAUACGAAGUGACAGACAGAAGCAGAGAAUGAGGGCAUAGGAACGAGUACUGAAAGUAAUUACAUACAGAAAACAAGCUAAUAAUGGGGCAGAUCUUAAACAUGAGCAACCCCAAACUCUAAAGUUAAUUUAUUUGGCUAGAACAAUGUUGAACGGAUCACAUGCACAUAAGACUAAGUUGGAGAGCCUUAUUCUCUCAUCAUCUGUGCCAAUGUGCAGAGGUCUUCUCCUAACAUCCAUGGAAAUAAACCUUUGAAAUUUCAGUACAAAUAAAUGGAGAAAUAAAAGUAAUCAAAAAUAAAGUAUUGGCAGCAAAUAUCCUGUGUUGCUGUAUUGGAAAAGAAAGGUGGGCUGCCAGAUUUAAUUAAAAUCUAUUUGAUUUAGCUAUAUUCAUAAUCACAGUGACCUUCAUGAAAAAACACAUCUAAUCUACCAUAAAGAAAAAAAUUAGCUUAUUCUAUUCUUGUCUUGUUCUCCACUAGGCUAUAUUAAUGACUUUCUUUUAGUUAGAUGGAAAAUACAGUUAUGUUAAAUGAUGUAAUAAAUACCUCUAAAGGCAGAGUAACUAGUUGAAACAAAGUUAAGACAAAGCCCUUGUCACAGUGUUUGUUUACAACAUAGGCUCGGGCAGCACACUGAUUUACUCAGGGUUCCCUUCACACAAGUACAGGCAAAACCAUAAACAUUUAUAAAUCUUAUAAAUAACAACAGACAGAUGAGAGAGGGGGCAUUUUUAAGCAAAGGAUAAGGUAAACAAACAAACAGCAAUUCAUAUAAGUGAAUGAAUCAGUCACAAUUUCAGCACAGUUAAGAGCAGACCUAGCAAAAAAGAAUUCUGAUAAGCUGAGCUUCAAGAACUCUGCUCCCAAAUGAAAAUAAGGUAAAAUUUCUGGAUUACCAUGUUUUGCCUUAUCCAGCCUCUAAAACCCUUCUACAACACAAAAACUACAACCUUAUUUUUUAAAAAAAUAUUAUUUAUUUUUUACUAUAAUUAGGACAAUUGAGUUGAAAAGCUCAGAAGAUUAGGAAAAAGUGCUGCAUUACUGUGGAAAUUGUUAAGAGUAAGGACUUUACUAUGUGAUGAUCAGCUAUAUGUGCACAGCAUGCUGACACAUUCUAAAAAAUGAAAAUAAAUAUAGGUCAAGCCUUGAUAUAUGCUCACCUUUUUUCCUCAUGGAAACUACAAGAACAGGUUCUGCAUGUGUGAAAACUUGUAAGGAAAAAAGACCUUCUGUCUCCAAGUUAUUUUUUGAAAAAUUAAGUCUUCUUUAAAGGAAAUUUAUUUUUCAUCAAUCCUGAACAAGUUUUAAUCCAAUUGAAUCAUAUCAAUGGAAGAAAUUUUGCUAAAUUGAGCAAUCUCUAAUUGGCAACACUAAUUUGUAAAACUCUUAGCCAGCUCUGUUCAUUUAUGGGAUCUCAUGUUUUGUUUCACUGUGAAAUUCAGUCUUGUGAAAUAACAGACAACAUUAAUCCACUUGUGCCUGGAUCUCUAACCUUUAUUUUUAAAGCCUGAAUAACUGAAACAUAUUUUCUUUUCAUAGAAAGAAGUCUGGGAAGCUGCCAGAUCCCUGCAGAAAAGGCUGAAAGAUGAUGGGCAGAGAAGGGUGUUGGUGUCGGUAAGGCAAAAAUGAUUGAAGUUGCAUCAUCUGUAUGACUAAAUUCACUGUGUGAAUUUUGAUUUUCCCCCCUACUUUCAGACAUUUGAGGAUGCAGUCAAGUCAAUGGAGUUCUGUUGUAGUGGUUGCUUCAGUGAACAUUCAACGCUGUCGGUGAGUUUGGAAUUAAAGUGAAAACCAUCGACCGUUGAUUGUACCCUCCAGCUAACCAUCCUCCUCCUUACUUCAUGCUUUCAGGCCUUAACACCGAAGAUAGCAACCUAACCAUCACAUGAUGUUUCUCCCUCACCCUGCCAAGCUUUACAAAAAGGUCACAAUCAACAUUCAUUGCUGUCGGUGGGUUUAACUAUGUGGACAAGCUCACUGAACAAUGAAUGCAACUGUGGCCCCACAUUGUACAGUUGCUGUUGAGAGGAGCAGCAGCUCUGAAGGCAAUAGUGAGAAGCAAACACUUCUUAUAAGCUACGCUUUUCUGGUCAGAAAAAUAGUUGUGGGUAUCCACUUUUUGCUUGGUUUUGAGUGUGUUGAACUUAGCUGGCUAGAAAAGCAAGUCCACUGUCUUUUUCUGGGGUAUUGUACUCACAGGGUUCAGUACCACUGAAAAUGUGAAAAUUCUUAUUUAGUAUGUAUGCAGAAAAAAUAACAGGACAGGUUGCUCUGUAUAUCCACUCCUAAGGACUCUGACAUAAGAAGAAAGAAUAUUUAAUUGCCAUUUAACUAGGCAUUGUUGAAGAGUUCAAACAUUUAUUCUAUAUUUGUCAUGACAAAUACAGCUGGGAACAAAUGGGAUUUAAGAGUUACAGAUAAAAAUGUUACAUCAAAAGAUAUUCAUUUUACAUGAAACUGAUUUUAAGAAGACAAAUACUACUGCAUUUGUUCUUUUUAGGGAUCUGAAAGAUGACAGACAAAUUUAUAUCCAGAAAUAAUAAUGGAAAAGCAGUUAAAUUGUAGAGCUACUGUAAACUGAGUGCCUAUGUCAUGCUCUGAAUUUCUCAAUAAGAAAAUAAAGUGCGAAUAAGCCCA